GUGAGUAACGCGUAGGUAUCUAUCCUGGGAUGGGGGAUAACAGCGGGAAACUGCUGCUAAUACCGCAUGAUGCCCGAGGGCCAAAGGCGCGAGUCGUCUUGGGAGGAGCCUGCGUCCGAUUAGCUAGUUGGUGGGGUAAAGGCCUACCAAGGCGACGAUCGGUAGCUGGUCUGAGAGGAUGAUCAGCCACAUUGGGACUGAGACACGGCCCAAACUCCUACGGGAGGCAGCAGUGGGGAAUAUUGGACAAUGGGCGAAAGCCUGAUCCAGCAAUGCCGCGUGGAUGAAGAAGGUCUUCGGAUUGUAAAGUCCUUUCGGCGGGGACGAUGAUGACGGUACCCGCAGAAGAAGCCCCGGCUAACUUCGUGCCAGCAGCCGCGGUAAUACGAAGGGGGCUAGCGUUGCUCGGAAUGACUGGGCGUAAAGGGCGCGUAGGCGGUUUGAUUAGUUAGGCGUGAAAUUCCUGGGCUCAACCUGGGGGGCUGCGCUUAAUACAGUCAGACUAGAGUGUGAAAGAGGGUCGUGGAAUUCCCAGUGUAGAGGUGAAAUUCGUAGAUAUUGGGAAGAACACCGGUGGCGAAGGCGGCGACCUGGUUCAUUACUGACGCUGAGGCGCGAAAGCGUGGGGAGCAAACAGGAUUAGAUACCCUGGUAGUCCACGCUGUAAACGAUGUGUGCUGGAUGUUAG
rnacentral:rRNA from 1 species